UCUACCCUUUGGCCUGGAAUAACACGAGGAAACUUGUGCUAAUACCGGAUAAGUCUUUACGGAGAAAGCUUUAUGCACCAUUGGAUGAGCCCGCACUUGAUUAGUUUGUUGGUAGGGUAAUGGCCUACCAAGACUAUGAUCAAUAGCUGAUUUGAGAGGAUGAUCAGCCACAUUGGGACUGAGACACGGCCCAAACUCCUACGGGAGGCAGCAGUGGGGAAUCUUGCACAAUGGAGGAAACUCUGAUGCAGCGAUGCCGCGUGAGUGAAGAAGGCCUUUGGGUUGUAAAGCUCUUUCGUCGGGGAAGAAAAUGACUGUACCCGAAUAAGAAGGUCCGGCUA
rnacentral:rRNA from 1 species